rnacentral:rRNA from 1 species
UACGAAGGGGGCUAGCGUUGCUCGGAAUCACUGGGCGUAAAGCGCACGUAGGCGGACUCUUAAGUCGGGGGUGAAAUCCUGGAGCUCAACUCCAGAACUGCCUUCGAUACUGGGAGCCUUCGAGUUCGGGAGAGGUGAGUGGAACUGCGAGUGUAGAGGUGAAAUUCGUAGAGUAUUCGCAAGAACACCAGUGGCGAAGGCGG